CCUACGGGUGGCAGCAGUCGAGAAUCAUUCACAAUGGGGGAAACCCUGAUGGUGCGACGCCGCGUGGGGGAAUGCAGGUCUUCGGAUUGUAAACCCCUGUCAUGCGGGAGCAAAUUAAAAAGAUAGUACCACACGAGGAAGAGACGGCUAACUCUGUGCCAGCAGCCGCGGUAAUACAGAGGUCUCAAGCGUUGUUCGGAAUCACUGGGCGUAAAGCGUGCGUAGGCUGUUGCGUAAGUCGUGUGUGAAAGGCGCGGGCUCAACCCGCGGACGGCACAUGAUACUGCGAGACUAGAGUGAUGGAGGGGGAACCGGAAUUCGCGGUGUAGCAGUGAAAUGCGUAGAUAGCGAGAGGAACACUCGUGGCGAAGGCGGGUUCCUGGACAUUAACUGACGCUGAGGCACGAAGGCCAGGGGAGCGAAAGGGAUUAGAUACCCCGGUAGUC
rnacentral:rRNA from 1 species